GAUGAACGCUGGCGGCGUGCCUAAUACAUGCAAGUCGAGCGAACAGAUGAGGAGCUUGCUCCUCUGACGUUAGCGGCGGACAGGUGAGUAACACGUGGAUAACCUACCUAUAAGACUGGGAUAACUUCGGGAAACCGGAGCUAAUACCGGAUAAUAUAUUGAACCGCAUGGUUCAAUAGUGAAAGACGGUUUUGCUGUCACUUAUAGAUGGAUCCGCGCCGCAUUAGCUAGUUGGUAAGGUAACGGCUUACCAAGGCAACGAUGCGUAGCCGACCUGAGAGGGUGAUCGGCCACACUGGAACUGAGACACGGCCCAGACUCUUACGGGAGGCAGCAGUAGGGAAUCUUCCGCAAUGGGCGAAAGCCUGACGGAGCAACGCCGCGUGAGUGAUGAAGGUCUUCGGAUCGUAAAACUCUGUUAUUAGGGAAGAACAAAUGUGUAAGUAACUAUGCACGUCUUGACGGUACCUAAUCAGAAAGCCACGGCUAACUACGUG
rnacentral:rRNA from 1 species